rnacentral:rRNA from 1 species
CCUGGCUCAGGACGAACGCUGGCGGCGCGCCUAACACAUGCAAGUCGAACGAGAGAGAAGGAGCUUGUUUCUUCGAUCGAGUGAGCGAACGGGUGAGUAACGCGUGAGGAACCUGCCUCAAAGAGGGGGACAACAGUUGGAAACGACUGCUAAUACCGCAUAAGCCCACGGGUCGGCAUCGACCAGAGGGAAAAGGAGUGAUCCGCUUUGAGAUGGCCUCGCGUCCGAUUAGCUAGUUGGUGAGGUAACGGCCCACCAAGGCGACGAUCGGUAGCCGGACUGAGAGGUUGAACGGCCACAUUGGGACUGAGACACGGCCCAGACUCCUACGGGAGGCAGCAGUGGGGAAUAUUGCACAAUGGGGGAAACCCUGAUGCAGCGACGCCGCGUGGAGGAAGAAGGUCUUCGGAUUGUAAACUCCUGUUGUUGAGGAAGAUAAUGACGGUACUCAACAAGGAAGUGACGGCUAACUACGUGCCAGCAGCCGCGGUAAAACGUAUGUCACAAGCGUUGUCCGGAAUUACUGGGUGUAAAGGGAGCGCAGGCGGGAAGACAAGUUGGAAGUGAAAUCUAUGGGCUCAACCCAUAAACUGCUUUCAAAACUGUUUUCUUGAGUAGUGCAGAGGUAGGCGGAAUUCCCGGUGUAGCGGUGGAAUGCGUAGAUAUCGGGAGGAACACCAGUGGCGAAGGCGGCCUACUGGGCACCAACUGACGCUGAGGCUCGAAAGUGUGGGUAGCAAACAGGAUUAGAUACCCUGGUAGUCCACACCGUAAACGAUGAUUACUAGGUGUUGGAGGAUUGACCCCUUCAGUGCCGCAGUUAACACAAUAAGUAAUCCACCUGGGGAGUACGACCGCAAGGUUGAAACUCAAAGGAAUUGACGGGGGCCCGCACAAGCAGUGGAGUAUGUGGUUUAAUUCGACGCAACGCGAAGAACCUUACCAAGUCUUGACAUCCCUUGACGGACAUAGAAAUAUGUUUUCUCUUCGGAGCAAGGAGACAGGUGGUGCAUGGUUGUCGUCAGCUCGUGUCGUGAGAUGUUGGGUUAAGUCCCGCAACGAGCGCAACCCUUAUGGUCAGUUACUACGAAAGAGGACUCUGGCCAGACUGCCGUUGACAAAACGGAGGAAGGUGGGGAUGACGUCAAAUCAUCAUGCCCUUUAUGACUUGGGCUACACACGUACUACAAUGGCGUUAAACAAAGAGAAGCAAGACCGCGAGGUGGAGCAAAACUCAGAAACAACGUCCCAGUUCGGACUGCAGGCUGCAACUCGCCUGCACGAAGUCGGAAUUGCUAGUAAUCGUGGAUCAGCAGGCCACGGUGAAUACGUUCCCGGGCCUUGUACACACCGCCC